UACGUAGGGUGCGAGCGUUGUCCGGAAUUACUGGGCGUAAAGAGCUCGUAGGUGGUUUGUCACGUCGUCUGUGAAAUUCCGGGGCUUAACCUCGGGCGUGCAGGCGAUACGGGCAAUACUUGAGUGCUGUAGGGGAGACUGGAAUUCCUGGUGUAGCGGUGAAAUGCGCAGAUAUCAGGAGGAACACCAAUGGCGAAGGCAGGUCUCUGGGCAGUAACUGACGCUGAGGAGCGAAAGCAUGGGUAGCGAACAGGAUUAGAUA
rnacentral:rRNA from 1 species